GGGGGGCGCGUGAAGGAAGAGGAAGGAGGAGCAAGAGCUGGUGGGAGGACUUCUUCGCGCAGGUAUGGCCUUUCUUUCUUUUCUUUCUCUUGUUCGUUUCACUUUGUUUUUCCUUUGCUAUCAAUUGCUUGGCGAUGGAGGCGCGAUGCUGGCGGCGUCGGCGACGCGAGCUGACGGCGCGGAGGAGCUGAUGGCGGAGGAGCUGAUCGCGGAGAAGCUCCAGCA
rnacentral:lncRNA from 1 species